rnacentral:lncRNA from 1 species
GAACUUGUCUAGGUCCCUAACAGGGGUAUCCAUCUCGGCGCUGGGGCAGGAGAGCAGUGGGGGGCGUGGAGCGGCGAGCAGGCUGUCUGAACCUGUUGGCCUGUCUGUCUUCUUCUGCCUGAGUUUGGGCUGCUGUAGAUUUCACUUCCUUGGAAAGGAGGAUCCCUGCUCUGAGUUUGGCCUACGAUAAGUUUCAUUUCCUUGGAAGGGCGGAGCCCUGCCCUGAGUCUGGGCUGUUGUAAGUUUCAUUUCCUUGGAAGGGAGGGCGGAGCUCUUCCCUGAGUCUGGGCUGCUGUAAGUUUCAUUUCCUUGGAAGGAAGGAACUCUGCCCUGAGUCUCGGGGUCUCUGCAAAUCGAACACUCCUUUGAUCCCGAAUUCUGUCCUAGCUCCCACCUCUUUCCUCCACUCUCCCCGACGAGUACUCUCUGCCUUCAACAGGCAGCCCAGAACCUCCGGUCUUCAUUCAGACUGUACUCUGAAAAGGUCCUCUGUAACAUCCAUCCGUACUUCCCCCAAGAGUAAUCUGGAGCAAAAACAGGUUUUUGGUUUCCUCAUCCUCUUUCUUUGUUGCUGACGAAACUAUUUUAUAAUCUCCUAUGGUCUUUGCAGCAGUGCAUGUAUAUUGCAAACAGAAACAAAGUCAGAGCGAUCAGGAAGCAUAAAGACCACCCCUGGUCCUCAACCUCAAAGAGUACAGCUGCAAGUACUUUGGUGUAGAGCUUUUCAGACAUUUUUCUAGAUUUAC